rnacentral:sRNA from 1 species
AAUACUCACUGUCAUAGGCACCCAUUCUAGUCUGGAUCUUAUCCACCGGGCUCAAUUUCGCUUCACUAGCGGGCACAUAGCAUCCCAACUGUGCCAUAAUAACUCCUGCGGCAGUCAUUCUCAAUAGCGUGCUUUUACCCGCCAUAUUCGGACCUGUCAACAACACUUGCCUAGGCUGUUCUCCACCGAGCUGAACGUCGUUUGAAAUAAAAUCGGAGCGCAGGCACAUGGAUGGGUGUCGGAGGUCACGAAAGUCGAUAAAUGCAGAGGACGAGGAAACAAAUGUAGGUCGGCACUUGGGUUCAUCCAUGUCGGAAGACGCUUUAGCAAGGGACACGAGGCAGUCCAGCUCAGCGACCACUCGAACAGUGGUAAGCCAUGUUUCACGGUCCUUGCUGAACUCCUCCAUAAGGUGUUUGAAAAAAUUCUUCUUGGCGGCUGCUUGGGUCUCACGAGCUUCCUGAAUCUGCCUGAUGACUGGAAUAGUCUCGGGGGUAUAGUACCUGUUGUGGCUCUGCGUAACCAUCAGUUGCCAAGUUCAUAUCCAGAUGAGACGACAGAUGGCAUACCUUGGUACCACUAGCCUUUGUCCACCUAGCAGGCGCCUUGACACUUGCUGGGAGUUGGAUUUGGAAGAUCUCCUUACCCCCUUGAGCACUGUGCCAGAAUACUGCUUCCUUGCACCUGUUUCUUGAUUAGCAGCCGCCUUCGCUGAUUAUUACGUAUGACAUACUUUAGAGUCUUUUUGACAUGUUCAAGAGUAUCGUUCAACUCUUCCUCAAUACGUUCAACCUCUGCAUCCGCGGCAUCGCAUUCCUCAUCCGCGCCCGGGUUGGGAAGGAUAGCAAUCGUCUUCUCUACUCUCCAUUGUACAUCCCUCGAAUAUGUUUAAUCAUCCCACUCAAGUCUGGCGCACUCCUCAGCAGCGCCUUGACCCCCGUGGAUUCCAAGCUUUCAGACAUAUCGAUCAAGUUGUCAAUGCCUUUUUGGAGUUUUGAAAAUGACUCGACGACUUGGAGAAGGUCGGAUUGCUUGACAGAGCCGGCGUGAAUACGAGAGAUCAGACGCUAAAAAAAUUGUCAGUAGAACACUGAUGCAAUGAAAGAACGGCUUACCUCAAGAUCGGGAAGUCCUUUACAAAGCUGGGUGAAAUCACCCGAGAAUCUGGGAUGGUUCAUAAGGUCCUCAACCGCGUCCAAUCUGGCGUUGAUAGCAUCCGCAUCUCUCAACGGUGACCUCAACCAAACUUUGAACAAUCUCUUGCCUGAUGGAGAAACACAUCGCUGAAGAAGUUCGGCAAGAGUGCCUUCGGUACCACCCUCAUUGUUUACCAACACCUAUCUCCUUGUCAGUUGAUGGCGUGGGCGUUAAGAUGAUAUGCUUACUUCCAUGUGGCCGAGAGUCUUGCCGUCCAAGAUGAGGUUUUUACCCUCCUUGAUGGGAUCGUAAAUGUUAAAGUUGCGUUGAGAGAACAAGUCCUUGUCAAGAUUGAGUGACUUGAGGUAGAAAAGCAUUCCACCGAGAGACUCCAUCGCAAGGUCGUUGUCUUGAAGCGAGAUAAUGGCUUCUGGGAUGGCACCUUCACCUUCUUCGCUGGAAAAGAUGGAAGGGAGGAGGUUGAGUGUGUCUUCAGCAGUGUAAAAUUCCUUGCCGUCUUUAAAUGAUUGCCAGGCGGUGGACGAGGGGAGAAUAUUUCGAAGGAGUCGUGUAGUCAUGACAGACAAGUUGCCCUGUUGCGCAUUAGCCAUUGCCGCUCAGCUUGUAAAGAUGAACAUACCUUGGCG